UACGGAAGGUCCGGGCGUUAUCCGGAUUUAUUGGGUUUAAAGGGAGCGCAGGCCGGAGAUUAAGCGUGACGUGAAAUGCCGCGGCUCAACCGUGGAAGUGCGUCGAACUGGUUUCCUUGAGUGAGUGCGACGUUGGCGGAAUUCGUGGUGUAGCGGUGAAAUGCUUAGAUAUCACGAAGAACCCCGAUUGCGAAGGCAGCCAACGAGUCCUUAACUGACGCUAAUGCUCGAAGGUUCGGGUAUCGAACAG
rnacentral:rRNA from 1 species